UUGCUUCUCUUGAGAGCGGCGGACGGGUGAGUAAUGCCUAGGAAUCUGCCUAGUGGUGGGGGAUAACGUUCGGAAACGGACGCUAAUACCGCAUACGUCCUACGGGAGAAAGCGGGGGAUCUUCGGACCUCGCGCCAUUAGAUGAGCCUAGGUCGGAUUAGCUAGUUGGUGAGGUAAUGGCUCACCAAGGCGACGAUCCGUAACUGGUCUGAGAGGAUGAUCAGUCACACUGGAACUGAGACACGGUCCAGACUCCUACGGGAGGCAGCAGUGGGGAAUAUUGGACAAUGGGCGAAAGCCUGAUCCAGCCAUGCCGCGUGUGUGAAGAAGGUCUUCGGAUUGUAAAGCACUUUAAGUUGGGAGGAAGGGUUGUAGAUUAAUACUCUGCAAUUUUGACGUUACCGACAGAAUAAGCACCGGCUAACUUCGUGCCAGCAGCCGCGGUAAUACGAAGGGUGCAAGCGUUAAUCGGAAUUACUGGGCGUAAAGCGCGCGUAGGUGGUUCGUUAAGUUGGAUGUGAAAGCCCCGGGCUCAACCUGGGAACUGCAUCCAAAACUGGCGAGCUAGAGUACGGUAGAGGGUAGUGGAAUUUCCUGUGUAGCGGUGAAAUGCGUAGAUAUAGGAAGGAACACCAGUGGCGAAGGCGACUACCUGGACUGAUACUGACACUGAGGUGCGAAAGCGUGGGGAGCAAACAGGAUUAGAUACCCUGGUAGUCCACGCCGUAAACGAUGUCAACUAGCCGUUGGAAUCCUUGAGAUUUUAGUGGCGCAGCUAACGCAUUAAGUUGACCGCCUGGGGAGUACGGCCGCAAGGUUAAAACUCAAAUGAAUUGACGGGGGCCCGCACAAGCGGUGG
rnacentral:rRNA from 1 species